UUUCAAUCAGCGUGCUUCCCCUAACAAAAGGAGGACUGAGCCAAGAUCAGAUCUAGUCUUACAGGAAUGUGAGUGGGGCUAAGAGUGCCAUGCUAGAUGGAGAUGAAGUGCAACACUAGCACCAAGAGUUCUCCAUGAUUACCCUCUGAACCUAAAAAGGUGGGGAUGAAGAAUGCCGUUUGCAGAACCAGUGAGAGCCAAGGUCUCGGAAGAGCGACUGCCCAAUAGGAGCGCUGUCUGCCAAAGCUUGGGACCUCUCUCUCGGUGGUGGUGAAGCAGGAAGACAACAGGAGGAAUAAGUACUCUGAGCUCUUUCUCUCUGUUCCCCCGUUGUCCAAUCAAAUGCUGGGGAUCCUAUUGGCUAAACCCAAUCAGGAGCCAAAGUAUAAGGAAACUGGAAAUUAGGAUGAUUCAGGACACAGAGUAUGACAGAGAAAAACAGCAUCAAUCUAUAGGGGCAAACAGUGAACCACCAGUACACCUCCCAUCAAAAAUACCCUCGCAGUGGAUAGUCUGAGCACUUUUACUAAAGCUAAACCAAUGUGUA